UGUAUAUGUGUGCAGUAAUUUGCACAAGAACGUAACAUCACUAUAUGCACUAUGAUUUCAGAGUGAAACAUAUGAUUAUUUGCUAUUGGACCAACCAAAUGUGGUUUCAACUCCACAUGAGAAAUACCAUGUAGGAACUGAAACAUACAUCCAAGCAUACAAAACCAAGAAGUCAAGCAAGAAUUUGAUAGGGCAUCUAAGCCACGAUAACAUUCAGUCACGUUUGUAUGCAGUGUUGGUAGAGCGAAAUGUGUCAAUGCCACGAUAACAUCCACAUGUCCACCGUCAUGCCUCCGCGGCUCCUCCUGUCAACCACGCGCCUCUACCAGCGGUUGUGCCAGCAAGAAUACCCUGUGGGGACAUUAGAAAUCUGUGGGGUCAAUCUUCUCAAGUUACAAGGACUAAUGCGUAAAAUUUAGAAAAACAAAGGGGUGCUAUAAAAAAGCUAUGGGUUACCUGACCCCACGGCUUACAUGUAGGUUCUGCACUGGCCUCUGCCAUGGCGUGUCCCCACCUUCCUCGUCGCGCCUUCUCAAGUAUUCCCAAGAAGAUAACAACAAUAACGGACUGUUUCAGUAUUAUAAACUUAAUAUUAAUAUUAUUCGACAGACGUUCAAACUUGCACACAAAUCAUGUAAUGCAAAACUACUAAUGCCAGCUUAAUAAAAUGGCUCCGCUGCAUCAUACAUGGCAAAUUAAAGAUCAUGCUUGGUCACUUGAGAUGGCACAAUGGAAUAGGAAGAUUUUACAAAAUGAAAAGGCAAUCUCUUCAAUUCUUAAAUUAGCAGCAUUUCAAUAUUUGCAGCUGUUGAAAACUUGGUUGUUAUUGUCCUACAGUCAAUAUACAACUUCAUAUUAAAGAUUACUUACUUGGUGAGCGAUUAGCUAGAUUACCUACUGGUGAGCGGUUAGCUAAAUUAGUGACGGCGGUUUUUAACACUCCCAAGUUCAAUUUAGUGUGAACGAUGAUAGAUUGGUGAAAUUUUAUCAUCCUGAUAUAAAAUGCAGGUUCGGACACUUUGUAGCAUAGUUACCAAGGUGAGUUGUGUCACAGGACAUUCUUUUUGAAGUGUCUAAUUAUAUAUGAACUUAAUCAUGGUUGAAGAACAUUGCCAUGCCUCCCAAAAGUUUAGAAGUUAUUAGGAAUGUAGUGCAAUUACUAAUUAGCCAUGCCGUGUUCUAGCAUAUAAGGAAAUUGUUUUUGUCCAGUAUGUAGUACUGGAACAAGUAGUGUUUGGAAGCAUAUACAUCAAAUAAAAAUAGUUGAAGGCCCAACGAUAAUUUCAUACCUGUGGCAGAGGCAUCGCUUCAACAAACAGUACUACUAAUGAACAUUGCAAUAUUUGUUCAUAGUACAUAAUCCUUGUACGUCAGAAACCAGAAACUUUGUGUCAGUGUGUUUCAUGAGAAGAGGAAGCCAAUCCGUCCUAUUCCUAGCACAACAGCAAAUCAAAGGGAAGCAUGCUUUACAUGGCAGACGUUCCAGGUAAGAGAAGAAAAUCUAAUAUGAUACUUAUCUAACUGUAUGAAUACAUUAGAAAAUAUCAUUUCCAAUUCAGAAUUUACCAUCCAGAAAUCACAACCCUCCAUUACUACUGCCAGCAUCAUGCCAUUAACUAGUUCUGCAAGUCCAGUUGAUCAUAAUCCUUCGUGGCAACAAGGAGGGCCAAACGUUUAUGUUCUGGCAGUAGAUAUCACUACCAUGACCAUUGCCUCAAUGACUAACUUCCAGGUUCAGUAUUGCAGGUCCUCAUAUAUGCCAUCAAGAUGAUCAGAAGACAUAUAACCCUGCAAACAAAAGCAAUUUUGUAUUGUUGCAUAGUACCUUUCAGGGAUAAAGAGAACUAUAAUCAAUUAAGUCGUCCCUUAGACAAUAUAACUUUCGUCACACAAGGGUGACAUACAGCAGAAAAAAAAAUCAGUUGGCUCAUUUCAACAAGCAUUUAUCAUAAUCAAACCAGCAACAUAGGAUCACCAAAUUUGAGAUUCUUUUUUCAACCGCAUAAAACAAACAUCAAUAACUGAAUUUCAUUUAAGUAUUGCACAUUGCAGGAUAAAAAGAAAAAGGAAACGGGUAUUACACAUUAUAAACUCAC
rnacentral:lncRNA from 1 species